AUGAACCGCUUCUGUGGUCUAGUAUUAGAGCGUCCGCCUCGGAUGCGGGAGGUUGUGGGUUCGAUCCCCGGUCGAGUCAUA